CCCUUAGAUGUUCUGGGCCGCACGCGCGCUACACUGAUGUGUUCAACAAGUCUUCACCUCGGUCGAGAGGCCCGGGUAAUCUUCGGAAAGCACAUCGUGAUGGGGAUAGAUUAUUGCAAUUAUUAAUCUUCAACGAGGAAUUCCUAGUAAACGCAAGUCAUCAGCUUGCAUUGAUUACGUCCCUGCCCUUUGUACACACCGCCCGUCGCACCUACCGAUUGAAUGGUCCGGUGAAAUCUCGGGACGGCGGCUUGGUCGCUUGCGUCCGACUGCUGAAACUUGAUUAAACCAUNUNAUUUAUNGGAAGGUGAANUCGUANCA
rnacentral:rRNA from 1 species